rnacentral:ncRNA from 2 species
AAGUUUGCCGAGCAUUUUGGUCCCCGCAUGCUUGCGGGGUUAAAAGGGAAUCCGGUGUAAAUCCGGAGCUUUUCCUGAAGCUGUAAGUCUUAUCAAGAGUUUUCAGUAUCACCUUUGCCACUGUUCCUAUUCCCGAUAGCUAUCGGGACGGAACGGGAAGGCGCUGAAAAUAAGACGAGCCAGAAGACCUGCCUUUUGCAAUUUGUGUUU